AUGCAGCAAGUCCAAGAUCAGUGAGCGACCUUGUCUCAGUGCAUGAGGCAAACAGAGGAUGGUGCCUCCUCUGGCCUUCACACACACCAUGCAUACAUACUACUUUUCCCUCUUAGAGGGCACCAUGCAGUCAGGGUACUCUCCCAAUAGCUUGUUAAAGGAGAGCUCUGCUGCGGGUGAAUGAUUCUCAGUUCAGUCAAGAAACACCUAAGCUGUCACACACACACAAAGCCAACUCUCAAAUCAUCUGCUAUUAGAAGCCCAUGGUAACGCCACCUCCACCACCGUGGAAUUCGUCCUGUUUCAAGCACACACAGAAUAUUUUCUGAAACUGACCUCAAAUCAGGCCAUAAAGCAAAUAUUAAUAAAUUCCAAAGGACUGGAGUCAUAUAGCAUUUUCUCUACCCACGGAGGAAAUCACUGCCUGCAGCAAUGAAUCACUUUCUCUGGGAAAUCCUCCAAUAUUUGAAAUGUGUAUCAAAGGAGAAAUAGUAACCAUGCUAAGAAAUUAAAAGUAUACAUAGUUUCCCAGGAUUAAAAGCAGAAAAGAAGGCUAUCACUACAAAUCCUGGAGCUGCUAAGAAGGCGGCUUAGGAUGCAGCAGAGCAGGAAGCCUUGCGGUUGGUACCCAGCACUGGAACAACAGCAGCCAAAAAAAUGGCUGGAAAAACUUGAUGCCAAUAAACUUAAAAUUUCACUCAAAAGUUCCUAGAGUAACAUAAUUUCCAAACCUAACAUUAAACUUUAAAAAGUAAGCCUGAUUUUAAGAAUGGUCAAGAGGUUAGAAAGAUGGUUCAGUGGUUAAGAGCACUGACUGCUCUUCUGGAUGGAGGUCCUGAGUUCAAAUCCCAGCAACCACAUGGUGGCUCACUGGUGCCUUCUUCUGGUGUGUCAGUGACAGUGUGCUGAAAAAUAAAAUAAAUCACUUUUUAAAAAGUCAAAUGGCUCCCGGAAUGGGCAAAAGAUCAGAACAGACAUUUCUCCUAUAAAGAUGGCUGCCAAGAGCUUGAAAUGAUACAAAGCAUCAUUGGUCCCCUAGAAGAGGGAGAUGAGAGACACUGUGAGGUACUACUUCAUAUUUACUAAGGAAAAUACUGUAAGAGCGACUGUAGUGAGAAGUAUUAAUGGGGACGUAGACAAAGCCUCACAGCAGGUAGGAAUUAGAAAUGGUGCUGCACAGAGACUUACAUAUGACUUUUCAUGGGAACAUUGUUCCUCAUAGCCAGAAAGUGAAUCCAACCCCAGUGACGGUCAUUGUUAAAGGAUCCCACAUCACCACGCAAAAUGGGGCAUUGUUUGGCAUUAAAAAGAGUGAAGUACAGGUAUAUGAUGUCAUAUAAUUCUGUCUUGAAGACAUUAUGCUACUCAGUAAAAUCCACUCAGCAAAAUUCAACAUCCUGAGUCACUUUGCUUAACAUGAAAUGUCAGGAACAGGCAAAUCCAUAAAAACAGAAGGUUGUCAAGGAUUAGGAGUAGGGAAAACAGGAAGUGACGUCUAAUGGAUGUCAGGUUGUGAGGAUGGUGCAAGACUGUACUACUGAUUGACAUAGAGCUUACACAACACUAUAUAUGUACUAAAACCAUCAUAUCAGAUAUGGGUUUUCAGAUAGACUCUCAUUAUAUGGUUCAGGCUGGCCUCAAACUCAUUAUAUAGCCUGGAAUGAUGGCCUGGAGCGUCUCCUCUUGCUUUUGCCUCUCAGGUGCUGGGACUGCAGGCAUGUGCCACCCAUAAGUAAAUUAUACAAGAUGGUAAUUAUAUCUAAAUAAUGGUGCUCUUGGUAGGGGAAGAGCAAAAAACCAAUGCCAGGAGAGAUACAAAGUCUGAUUGGUCUUAUAGCUAUAAAAGAAGUUUAACCCAUAAUUAAGACCUCACACACAUAAAACUCUAGGCUUGAGACAUUUUCCAGAGUGAGCUAAAGAGAUGGCUCAGUUUUAAGAGUGAUUACUACUGUUGCAGAGAACCCGGGUUCUGUUCCGAGCACAGACCUGGUAGCUCUCCACCGCGUGUAACACCAACCCAAGAGAUCUGAUGCCCUUUUCUGACCUCAUCAGGCACGGCACACAUGGGAUUCAUGUGCAUUCGUGCAUGAAAACACUCAUACACUUAGAAUAUAAAAUAGUAAAACUUAAACUUCCCCAGAGAAUAUGAAAACGUGACUGAUGUAUGUACUAUCUAUAAAUAUCCUCAAUGAGGACAUUAUAAGAAAGGAAAGGGCAUCUUCAUGCAGAUAAAUACAAGUGAACAGCCAUCACAAAAACCCUCAGCAAAAGAGGAUUAAUGGGAAUCCAUAUUUGACAAUAGGUUAUCUACCCCAAGACUUCAAAGGUGUUAUAAUUGAUGAUAAGUAUUGAAGACUGUUCUCUUGAUGUCAAGAGCCAGGCUGAGGUAAGGAUUAUUCACCUUUGAACUUAAAGACUCAUCCACUUCAGUUGCAUUGAGGAAGAAAUGAACUUCAGUAUUGAAGAGGAAGUAAAUCUAACCUCACACACAGAUAACACAACUGUAUGCAUUGAAAAUCUGAAAGAAUCCACGGGAAAGAUAUAAAAUUAAUGUGACUAUCACAAAGUGAUUGAAGACAAACCACAUGCUAAACCAGUUGUAAGUCGGACACGAUUGGUCAGUUUAUUAAAUUCACGAAGCUGAGCCGUUUCUACAUGCGUGUAGACACACUGCACAUCCCAAUGCAAAGCUUAGGGAAAGGAAGCUAUAUUCCUGUCGCUGACUUUUAGCAAAUGAAAUUUGAAAAAUGAAACUAUUUGCAAUAACAUUAAGAUACAUUAAAACAUGUCAUAGGAAAGAGAUGUCAGGCCUCCCCAGAGAAAACCAGAGGUUCACGGGGAGGAAAGAAUGUGUCAAGAUCAUGCCCGGGAAUAUUUAACAUUGUUCAGCUGUUGCUUCUCUGCAGAUUCAUCUGCAGGAUCUGUAUAUUCUCAGUGGAGGAAAAGAUGGCCAGCUUGUUGCAGAAGAAAGUAAAUCUAAGCUUGGCUGGAUCCUAGACUAAAUAAAACGAAUCAUAAAACACAGGUAUAAAUGUUCACGCUAAAAGAGCAAAGCUUGUUGGAGAAACCAGAAGAAUAUCUUCCUGACCUUCAGACGGGGAACAGUACCUAAAACAGAGUAUAAAAGCCACUACUCAUGAAGGAAAACAUUACAGUUGGGCUACAUUAAAAGCUUCAGUUUCAUUCUUUGAGGUACCAUCAAAAUGCUUGCUACGGUGAGAAAAGAAAUGCUCAUACACAUAUACACAUAAAUACACACACACACACACACACACACACACACACACACAUAUGAAGCCCCAACAAAGGGCUUAUGUCCCAAUAUAUAAGUAAUUUUAUAUAAAAUUUAAAAGGUAGCAUAGCUCCAAAUUAGCUAAGCUGACAAUAUUAAAAAUG
rnacentral:lncRNA from 1 species